rnacentral:lncRNA from 1 species
GAGAGGUCGCCGGGAGCACGCAGGCCAGCACCUGGUUGGCCGUGGGGGCGUGGGGAGCCCAGGAGGCAGGGGUGCAGGCGUGGCCCGUGGGACAGAGAGGUGCCGACAGAGCCUCCCAGCACAGCACCGCCUCCGGGCGAUGUAGGAAGAAACGCUGGUGGGGAAGAUGGGUCUGAGAUGUCUGUGGGACAACAGGUGGCCGGUUACUAUAAAUGUCUGGAGCCCAUGAGAAGGCGCUGAGAUCAUUUAGGAGAGCGGAUCCCGGGAGACGAGAGCAAAGGACUGCACCUCAGGAACCUGGGCAGUUGUGAUGUUGGCUAAUAGAGAAAGAGCCUGGGAAGGAAACCUGAAAGUGAAGAGCAGGGACACAAUGGACACUUUCUGCCCUCUGGAGGGAGCUAUCCAAAAGAAGAAACUGCACUUGGAAAUUGACCUAUGAGCAGCACAGAAGAUGAAGAAGAAGGAAAGGGGCCAUCAAGCAGAGAAAUGUGGAGAUCCUGGUGAUGCUGGCAAUGACCCUUCAGCAGGGAGAUGGCUGGACCUGCCAAGUGGAGCACCCCAGCCUGGAUGGUCCUGUCACUGUGGAGUGGAGUUCCUGAUCUGACCCAAAGACCUCCGUGUGCCCCGGAACAAGCAUUUUUCUAUCUUUCCUCAGUCCUAGAGGCUGGUUCUGGGACAGACUUCAGCCUCCCAAGAGGAUGUUACUACUAAGUACAUCUGCAGUGGCUGCCGUGAGGCAGACAGUGGGGAGAGAAUGAGGCAGAGCAGGAGACAAUGAGGCAGACAGUGGGGAGAGAAUGAGGCAGAGCAGGAGAGAAUGAGGCAGACAGUGGGGAGAGAAUGAGGCAGAGCAGGAGAGAAUGAGGCAGACAGUGGGGAGAGAAUGAGGCAGAGCAGAGCAGGAUUCAGAGGAGCUCUGAAUCCAGGACUUAUUUCCCUAUCUGGUGGAGGGAGAAGGGGUGGAGGUGAAACAGCUCAGCGGGGCUCAGCCAACCAGAAAAUGUCAGAAGGAGCAUCUUAGUGUCUGGGAAAGAGGCGAGAAACGACGCGGCUGAGAAAGUCCCAACCUAUGUGGGGUUCAGGGAUAAGAGGAAGAGAACAAAAAUGGAGACAUGAUAAUCACCUUCUUUUUAAUGGGAUUGAUUGGAAAUACGUCUUUGAAAUUGAUCCUGGAACAUUUUUUAUUUGUAGUAACUUUUGUGAAUGGAUAAUUUUCUUCAUAAUUUCAUGUUGAUUUUUUGUAUCAUAUAAGAAUUCCCUUGAUUGUUAUUAAGUAAUGUUAUAUUUUACCCUUUCAUUCCUUUGAUAAUUUUGGAGGAAUCUGAUAAUAUUUAAUCAAAAAUUUCCAGACAUAUAAUCAGAAUGCAAAAAAUAUUAACUAUUUCACUUCUAAUUAUUCUUUUUAUUUCUUCUUGCAGUUUUUAUCUUUUUAUACGAGAUUUCUCUAAUAUUUUACCACUUAGUGUAAAAUUAACUUUGCUUUAUAAAUUCUUUUUUUAUAUAUAAAUUUGAUGUCUUUUCAUAAAUUUGUGUAGAACUGUAGUAAAAGCCCC